AUGAACGCUGGCGGCGUGCCUCAUACAUGCAAGUCGAGCGCACGGACGAGAAGCUUGCUUCUCUGAUGUUAGCGGCGGACGGGUGAGUAACACGUGGAUAACCUACCUAUAAGAUUGGGAUAACUCCGGGAAACCGGAGUUAAUACCGGAUAAUAUUUUGAACCGCAUGGUUCAAAAGUGAAAGACGGUCUUGCUGUCACUUAUAGAUGGAUCCGCGCUGCAUUAGCUAGUUGGUAAGGUAACGGCUUACCAAGGCAACGAUGCAUAGCCGACCUGAGAGGGUGAUCGGCCACACUGGAACUGAGACACGGUCCAGACUCCUACGGGAGGCAGCAGUAGGGAAUCUUCCGCAAUGGGCGAAAGCCUGACGGAGCAACGCCGCGUGAGUGAUGAAGGUCUUCGGAUCGUAAAACUCUGUUAUUAGGGAAGAACAUAUGUGUAAGUAACUGUGCACAUCUUGACGGUACCUAAUCAGAAAGCCACGGCUAACUACGUG
rnacentral:rRNA from 1 species